UGUCUUUCGUAGUAACCACAUCCUCCAUUGUCAGCACUUCAUAUAUUAACCUACGGGGCGGUUCUAGGUUGAAAUGUUGUGAGAGUACUUGUAAAAGUUCAUACUUUCCCUUUAUGCAUUGCAAGUAUCAGUCUUGCAUUAUUGAGAAUAUCUCAACAUCCAUGCUGAUGAAUUGCACAAAACCCAAUUUUCAAUCCUUCAGUGAUGAAGACACAGUUUCUAUUGAUUUGGGUGAUCAAGGAAAUGAAGAUGGUGAAGAUAUAGAUUCACCAUGGGAAGGGGCAGUCGUUUACAAGAGAAACGUAUUACAUUAAAGAGGCUUGGGCUGGGAAACCUUUCGACCGAGGUCUCCAAAUCUAGGGCUUCAGUGAUGGGGUUACGGGUCACCAAAGCUGUUAAGGAUUAUCCAAACGGCACGCCAGUUCAGAUUUCCAUUGACAUAACAAGGAGGAAGCAAAAACUGAGGCUUGAUGGGAUCAUUAAAACUGUCAUCAGUCUGACUUGCAACAGGUGUGGUGAUCCAGCAGCUGAGUCCAUCUUCUCCAACUUCUCACUUCUCUUAAUUGAUGAACAUAGAAGAACCUGAUAUUAUCAAUAUGGGAGUAAUGUAUGGAGACAAUAUCAAAAGUCAUACGGGAUUUGGUGGAGGAAAAUGAUGAUGACUCGGUUGAUUUUGGAGGAUCAGCUGUAUUACCACCCUGAGGACAAAGAAAUGGACAUUUCAAAGCACAUAAGAGACUGGUGCAUCUGGAGAUUACUAUCUCUGCGACAUGUAUCCAAAUUGCAAGGGUCUGUGUCUCAAGUGUGGUAAAAAUUUGAACACUAGCAGUUGUAUUUGUGGCAAACAGGAGGCAUUGCAGGAGAAGGUGGACAUUAACAACUACGAUUACAAGAGAAUUCCGCGACCAAAUGAAGAUAAGUCACACUAG